AAUAUUGUGCAAUGGAGGAAACACUGACGCGGCGGCGCCGCGUGAGCGAUGAAGGUCUUCGUAUCGUAGAGCUCCGUCCUUAGGGAAGAACGGGCUAUAUGUGAAGUAUGUAGAGAAAUGACGGUACCCAAGGAGGAAGCCCCGGCUAAGUUCGUGCCAGUAGCCGCGGUAACACGUAGGGGGCGAGCGUUGUCCGGAAUCACUGGGCGUAAAGAGCACGUAGGAGGAUUAUUAAGUCAGAUGUGAAAACUCUGGGCUCAACCUAGAGACUGCAUCUGAAACUGGUAGUCUUGAGUAUAGAAGAGGAGAGUGGAAUUCCUAGUGUAGCGGUGAAAUGCGUAGAUAUUAGGAGGAACACCAGUGGCGAAGGCGACUCUCUGGUCUAUAACUGACGCUGAGGUGCGAGAGCGUGGGGAGCAAAC
rnacentral:rRNA from 1 species